UACGUAGGUGGCAAGCGUUAUCCGGAUUCACUGGGCGUAAAGCGCGUGCAGGCGGUUUCGUAAGUCGGACGUGAAAGCUCCUGGCUUAACUGGGAGAGGUCGUUCGAUACUGCGGGGCUUGAGGUCGGGAGAGGGACGUGGAAUUCCCGGUGUAGUGGUGGAAUGCGUAGAUAUCGGGAGGAACACCAGUGGCGAAGGCGACGUCCUGGCCCGCACCUGACGCUGAGACGCGAAAGCGUGGGUAGCGAACGGGAUUAGAUACCCCAGUAGUCC
rnacentral:rRNA from 1 species